rnacentral:lncRNA from 1 species
AGAUGUAUUUAUUUUUACUUGUAGAAUUGAGGAAAGGAUGCAGUGGAGAGAAAUCAAAGCCUUUGCUGAAAAUCCUCAUCUCUACUCAGUUUGGACUGCCCAGUUGGAGUGUCCAGGCUCUGAGCAGGUCAGUUCACACAUCCAGAGGGGAGACAGAAACUGCAGAUGUGGUAUGAAAUAAGAAGCAACACACUCAACACCUUCUGCCAUGUUGGAAUGAUAAUGUUAUUCCCAACACCCACCCAAGACUUCUUUUCAAAAAGCUCAAAAAUAUCACCUCACCCUCAGCGAACUGCUGUGCCCUGAGUGCUGCAGAGCUCUGUGGAGUUUGGCUGUCUACAAAUUAUUCUCCAUUUUUGACUGGUAAGAAAAACAUGGGAAAGACCUGGGCUUCUUUAAUGCCUUCAGACAGGAUGGUCCUGACUCACGCUGGGUAUUUCCAUCACGGAUCCCUGCAGCCUGCUGGGGUUUUGUCCCUGUGAG